AUGAGCGAGGAGGCGAUGGUGGCUUUCAGAAGAUACAUUGAGAGCAAAGAUGAACUUAAGGGACUUGAUUAUGAAUUUGACGAGCUUGUCCAUCAAUGUUUCCAUGUGGAGCAUUAUUUGAAGACAUUUCAUCACUUCAACUUUACUGUCAAGACAAAGAAGCCUGGCUCAGCUGAUUGGACAUCGGUGUGGUACUUCGCUCAGGUCAAAUCGAUAUGCAUGAUAAAACGCUAUGUCUGUUAUCCUUUGGAGCAAGAUCAAUAUGGUGAAUGUUAUGCAUGUGAGAACCAAGGAAUGGGUGUCUUGAGGCACCCAUUAGAAGGGAUGUACGAUAUGGGCAGGGAAGAUACACAAUUUCCCUUGUAUUAUGAGGACAGUGACUCUGAUGAAUUUCGUCCAAUAGGAGGAUGGAGUAGUGAGUCUGAUGAGGACAUGAGCUGA
rnacentral:rRNA from 1 species